CCUACGGGAGGCAGCAGUAGGGAAUCUUCCACAAUGGGCGAAAGCCUGAUGGAGCAACGCCGCGUGGGUGAAGAAGGUCUUCGGAUCGUAAAACUCUGUUGUUAGAGAAGAAAGUGCGUGAUUGUAACUGUUCACGUUUCGACGGUAUCUAACCCGCAAGCCACGGCUAACUACGUGCCAGCAGCCGCGGUAAGACGUAGGUGGCAAGCGUUAUCCGGAUUUAUUGGGCGUAAAGGGAACGCAGGCGGGCUUUUAAGUCCGAUGUGAAAGCCUUCGGCUUAACCGGAGUAGUGCAUUGGAAACUGGGCGACUUGAGUGCAGAAGAGGAGAGUGGAACUCCUGGUGUAGCGGUGAAAUGCGUAGAUAGAUGGAAGAACACCAGUGGCGAAGGCGGCUCUCUGGUCUGUAACUGACGCUGAGGUUCGAAAGCGUGGGUAGCAAACAGGAUUAGAUACCCGGGUAGUC
rnacentral:rRNA from 1 species